rnacentral:rRNA from 1 species
CCUACGGGUGGCAGCAGUGAGGAAUAUUGGUCAAUGGUCGGGAGCCUGAACCAGCCAAGCCGCGUGAGGGAGGAAUGUCCAGCGUAUCGUAAACCUCUUUUGUCAGGGAACAAAGUCAGGCACGUGUCCCCGUAUGAGUGUACCUUACGAACAAGCAUCGGCUAACUCCGUGCCAGCAGCCGCGGUAAUUCGGAGGCUGCAAGCGUUAUCCGGAUUUAUUGGGUUUAAAGGGGGCGCAGUGGGUCGUGUAAGUCAGGAGGCAAAGGCCGGGGCCCAACCGCUGCCCGGAGUUUGAUACUGGCAGUCUAGAGUAGGAGAGAAGUAGGCGGAAUGCGUGGUGUAGCGGUGAAAUGCAUAGAUAUCGCGCAGAACUCCGAUUGCGAAGGCAGCAUGCUGGACAGAAACUGACGCUGAGGCACGAAAGCGUGGGUAUCGAACAGGAUUAGAUACCCCUGUAGUC